rnacentral:rRNA from 1 species
GACGGAGAAGGAAAAAGUUAUCAGGAAUUAUUGGGCGUAAAGGGUACGUAGGUGGCUGGUCAAGUCUGGGGUCAAAGGCCACAGCUCAACUGUGGGAAGGCCCUGGAAACUGGCCGGCUAGAGUGAGGUAGGGGUUGCGGGAAUUCCCGGUGUAGCGGUGAAAUGCGUAGAGAUCGGGAAGAACACCUGAGGCGGAAGCGCGCAACUGGGCCUCAACUGACGCUGAGGUACGAAAGCUAGUGGAGCGAAGGGG